rnacentral:tRNA from 1 species
GUCCUCAUAGCUCAGUGAUUAGAGCGUCCAACCGGCACCUGGAAGGUCAUGGGUUCGAUUCCCGUUGGGGAGCUCA